UUUUGAAAACAACUGCACCAAAACACAAAACCCAUGAGUCUGAAUCAAUCAAAGUAACCCUCAGUUUUCUUGUCUAUAGAAAAUCACUGAAGAACAAGAAAUGGAGAAGUGCAAUGUUGAAUGUGCAUCCUUAUGGUCAUGGCCUUCUGUGAAAACAGAUUAGGUGACAGUAGACCAGCAGAGUGCACUACAGUACAAACACCUCAAAAAAUACAUCAGAGAAAACAUAAAGAAGAUGGUUUAUGAACAACUUGAAAAUGCUGAACUUAUUAUUCAUCCUAAGGAAGAGCCUGCACCUGAUGACUCUAGAAGAGAAAUAUCCACAAAGGUUAAAGAAAAGAAGCCAGGGUAUCUGCUUGUGCCCCGUUUGAACUCUUUUGAGCACAGAAUUGCUGCACUGCGGGCUACCGCACACGUUGAACCAGCUCCUGCUGCCUGCCCUGGUGAUGCGGGUGACGCGGGUGACAUGGACAAGGCGUUCACGGCUGAACGGGCCCGUCCAGUUGCUUUGGCUCUCAGCACUGAGCACCAAAGAUGGCAACCGCACACUGACCCUGAGCUUGCUCCUGGUCACCGCGCUGGCGACACCAGGGACCCUCCUCACAAUGCUGACCUGGCUCUUGACAAGCUCAGUAUUGAUCCAGAGUCUGCUCCUCUUUGUGGUCCCAGUGACACUAAGGAUCCUGCUAAGGAUGCUGACCUAGCUUUUCACACUGCACAUCCAACUGGCCACUUCAGACCAAGCAUGAACACCAACAACAGGCCUGUCCUUCCUGUUGUUUAUGUCUGAUGACAUGGGGGAUACACCAGAUUCUACAAGGGUAGUCUGGAGAUCUUACCAAGAAGCUUCCAGUAAAAAGAAUGAGGGCCAGGUUGGCGCUGCAGUUGAUUGAUAGUCCUCUGAAGCAGUCAAAUUGAUAUCUAUAUUAACAAGAAUUUUAAAACAUAUAGAAAUUCAAAAGAAAAAUAAUUCUCUCAAAGAGGACAUUCUAUUUAUUGAACUUUGUACACAAAUUGUUAAUAGUUUUCAAUUAAAAUACACUAUGCAAAAAUUUU